AUUGAACGCUGGCGGCAGGCCUAACACAUGCAAGUCGAACGAGUGGCGGACGGGUGAGUAACGUCUGGGAAACUGCCUGAUGGAGGGGGAUAACUACUGGAAACGGUAGAUAAUACCGCAUACCAUAAGAUGUGCCCAGAUGGGAUUAGCUUGUUGGUGGGGUAACGGCUCACCAAGGCGACGAGCCCUAGCUGGUCUGAGAGGAUGACCGGCCACACUGGAACUGAGACACGGUCCAAACUCCUACGGGAGGCAUCAGUGGGGAAUAUUGCAAAAUGGGGGCAAGCCGGAUGCAGCAAUGCCGCGUGUAUGAAGAAGGCCUUCGGGUUGUAAAGUACUUUGAGCGGGGAGGCGUUACCCGCAGAGAAAGCACCGGCUAACUCCGUGCCAGCAGCCGCGGUAAUAC
rnacentral:rRNA from 1 species